rnacentral:rRNA from 1 species
GAUGAACGCUGACAGAAUGCUUAACACAUGCAAGUCGAUUCAAUUUACCUUCGGGUAUUGAGGAUGGCGGACGGGUGAGUAACGCGUAAGGAACUUGCCUCUUGGUCUGGGACAACUGUUGGAAACGACAGCUAAUACCGGAUAUUAUGAGAUUCUCGCAUGAGAAACUUAUGAAAGCUAUAUGCGCCAAGAGAGAGCCUUGCGUUCCAUUAGCUAGUUGGUGGGGUAACGGCCCACCAAGGCGACGAUGGAUAGCCGGCCUGAGAGGGUGAACGGCCACAAGGGGACUGAGACACGGCCCUUACUCCUACGGGAGGCAGCAGUGGGGAAUAUUGGACAAUGGGCCACAAGCCUGAUCCAGCAAUUCUGUGUGCACGAUGAAGGUCUUCGGAUUGUAAAGUGCUUUCAGUUGGGAAGAAGAAAGUGACGGUACCAACAGAAGAAGCGACGGCUAAAUACGUGCCAGCAGCCGCGGUAAUACGUAUGUCGCAAGCGUUAUCCGGAUUUAUUGGGCGUAAAGCGCGUCUAGGCGGAAAAAUAAGUCUGAUGUUAAAAUGCGGGGCUCAACUCCGUAUUGCGUUGGAAACUGUUUUUCUAGAGUACUGGAGAGGUGGGCGGAACUACAAGUGUAGAGGUGAAAUUCGUAGAUAUUUGUAGGAAUGCCGAUGGAGAAGUCAGCUCACUGGACAGAUACUGACGCUNAA